rnacentral:tRNA from 1 species
AGGCGUGUGGCUCAGUGGUAGAGCGUCCGUUUCGCACACGGAAGGCCCAGGGUUCGAUCCCCUUACUUGUCCA